CCCUUAGAUGUUCUGGGCCGCACGCGCGCUACACUGUUUGAUUCAGCGAGUCUUAACCUUGACCGAAAGGUUUGGGUAAUCUUCUAAAGUCAAACGUGAUGGGGAUCGAUCAUUGCAAUUAUUGAUCGUGAACGAGGAAUUCCUAGUAAAUGCAAGUCAUCAGCUUGCGUUGAUUACGUCCCUGCCCUUUGUACACACCGCCCGUCGCUACUACCGAUUGAAUGGUUUAGUGAGAUCUUCGGAUUGGCGCCACUGCGGCUCAGCAAUGGGCUCGGUGGAUGCCGAAAAGUUGAUCAAACUUGAUCAUUUAGAGGAAGUAAAAGUCGUAACA
rnacentral:rRNA from 1 species